CAGCUGUCCUUCAUCACAACUGAAGACACAUAAAUCCUCCUCAUCACAAACAUGACUUUGAUCUGCGUCCUCAUCUGGACUCUCCUCUGCUGCUGCUUCACAGAGUCCAUAAUCCAGGUCACAGUAACUCAGCCUGCAGCCGUGAGAGCUGAUCUUGGAGGAUCUGCCACCAUCAGCUGCAGGACCAACUAUGGAGUAUAUAGCAGUAGCUAUUUACACUGGUACCAGCAGAAAGACAGAGCAGUUCCUAAACUGCUCAUGUACAUCACCAACACUCGAGCAUCAGGGACUCCAAGUCGUUUUACAGGCAGUGGAUCAAACUCUGACUUCACUCUGACCAUCAGUGGAGUUCAGGCUGAAGAUGCUGCAGUUUAUUACUGUAAGGGAGUUUUUGACUCAAGUAAAUACGAGCUGUAUACACAGUGA